UACGUAGGGUGCGAGCGUUGUCCGGAAUUAUUGGGCGUAAAGAGCUCGUAGGCGGCUUGUCGCGUCGGAUGUGAAAGCCCGGGGCUUAACUCCGGGUCUGCAUUCGAUACGGGCAGGCUAGAGUUCGGUAGGGGAGAUCGGAAUUCCUGGUGUAGCGGUGAAAUGCGCAGAUAUCAGGAGGAACACCGGUGGCGAAGGCGGAUCUCUGGGCCGAUACUGACGCUGAGGCGCGAAAGCGUGGGGAGCGAACCGG
rnacentral:rRNA from 1 species